UCAAGAAAUUUUCCAACUUUUAAAAAGAUAAUCUUUUAGAUGUUAAAUAACAAUUUUAAUGAGAAGAGUUCAAAGCUUUAGUUAUGAAAAAGUGAUAUUGGGGAUCUCCAACCUCGAAAACAGAACAGAAAGAUAAGAUUUUGUUGUUUGGUACUUUAUCUUAUUGAUAUAUCAUUAAACUGGACUUUAAUUCCGAAAGAACACCACUUUAUGAGACGAUUCGAAGUAAUUUGAAAAUUCAGUAAAAUCGAUUUUUCUUGAAUUAAAUUACCUUUUUGCAGGCACGGACAAUUUUCUUCAAAUCAUACUCCGCCGAGAGACCUUGCACUGUGGUCAGGGUUUUGCGUCCGUUCCUUUGCUGGAUCCUUAUAUGUACGAAUCCAUCCUGUACGCCUUCGUCAGCACCCUUGUUUGCGUCCGCAAAGGGAUCUGUAAAUCAAAUUUGCGUCAGCGCGCUUGAUUUAUUUUGUGAACUGGGAGAAGUAAACAGACUCGAGAAUUUAUUUUCUGGCACCAAGAGCAGCUAAGUGGCUUUGCCGAGUACUUUCAACAUCUCUUUGCGAGAUUGGCACUGCAUCACGGGGAUUUCAAGCGCGAUGUACAGUUAGGACAAUGUGCGAAUUCAAGGAUGAAUUUACAAAAGAACAAACGGAAUGGAGCGCGCCAUAUAGAGUAAAAGGACCAAACUGAAAGAAUGGAAGCCAUGAGACACUAAAUAGGGAAGGAAAGCUUUCAAAGCUUCCAGAAGUUCGGUUUGACAGAUGUGGGCCAUGAUUGCGGAAAUGCGUUAUGCAAGCAUUGCGGUUGAAAUUGAACCGAUGCAAAUAUUUGAUAAGGAGCUCGGAAAAACUCGUGGGACACUGGGAAAUUUCAAAACAUUGGAGCUGCCAUCUUAGAAAUUGAGGAGUGAAAAUUCUCGACAGAAAGGGUGUUUUUGUUUGACGUUUUUUCCGCUUACCAAAUGUGGUGAGAUUCUGGAUGGACAUAUACGACAACAAGGAGAAGCACUAGCUUUUAUAUUCCUGCGAGAUGCAAUCGAAAAUGUCAACCUCGGUGGAGAUGAUCGACGAUUCGUUCACGAGAGUCUACGACCAAGAAAUGACUAUUUCGCGAAGGAAUUCAAAGACGGAUGUGACGUCACAGUGUGCGUCACGUCGAUGCUCGCUUGUUCGAUUUCAACUACUUUUAGCGCGAAACGUGUCGUGUGCACAAAAUUUUAUUUUUAGCAUUCGUCGAAUUAAAAAAGAUAUAAUAUGGUUUAAUUUUUUUUACAAUAAUAAUUUAUAAGAGCGCUACUGUGCCAUACAAUAUGAAAAAAAAAUGUAUCAAUUACUCUCUGUAAGCAAGCUUUUUACAAAAUAUAAAAAUUUGGUAUUUAUUAGCUUGGGAAAUAAUGAAAUGCAAACAGAUUAGCUGCGAUAAAAUUUUACUUUCAAUAAUUUGGAUUAUUGAACACAUUUUUAUCUUGAAAGAUAUACAAUUGAAAAUGUAAACAAACUUAAUUAACUCAAAAAUAUAUUUUAUUUUAGGAAAAAAAUCAAAAUAUGGUCAAAUCAAUAUUAAUUGUGCUCUUCAACGCAAAAAAUAAAUCACAAUUACACGAUCUGUUCCUGAAAUACAAAAUAUUGUCGGAAUGUAAAUAAACCUAACAUAAUAUAAUGUUAUAAAAUACUUCUUGUGUCUGCUCAGUUUCCAAUUCAAGUUUGUGAUUACACUAUAGAUUGUGAAAACAUAAAUAAUUAAAAUUAAACACUGGCAAUGAUUUUCCGUUUAGGUUUCACCACGUUCGACUUGAGCUUAUUGAUGAUCACCACAAGGUCUUUUGGUCCAAAGUCCUUGUGCUUCUUGCUGAAGACAUUUAAGUAAAUGCCGAGUACGACUAUUG